rnacentral:rRNA from 1 species
AACCUCCGCAAUGUGAGAAAUCGCGACGGGGGGAUCCCAAGUGCCAUUCUUAACGGGAUGGCUUUUCAUUAGUGUAAAGAGCUUUUGGAAUAAGAGCUGGGCAAGACCGGUGCCAGCCGCCGCGGUAACACCGGCAGCUCUAGUGGUAACAAUUUUUAUUGGGCCUAAAGCGUCCGUAGCCGGUUUAAUAAGUCUCUGGUGAAAUCCUGUAGCUUAACUGUGGGAAUUGCUGGAGAUACUAUUAGACUUGAGAUCGGGAGAGGUUAGAGGUACUCCCAGGGUAGAGGUGAAAUUCUGUAAUCCUGGGAGGACCGCCUGUUGCGAAGGCGUCUAACUGGAACGAUUCUGACGGUGAGGGACGAAAGUUAGGGGCGCGAACCGGAUUAGAUACCCGGGUAGUCCUAACUGUAAACGAUGUGGACUUGGUGUUGGAAUGGCUUUGAGUUGUUCCGGUGCCGAAGGAAGCUGUUAAGUCCACCGCCUGGGAAGUACGGUCGCAAGACUGAAACUUAAAGGAAUU